UUGAAUGAACUUGGUUGGGUUGCUGCUGGCUCUCCGGAGCAUGUGCACACUCAUUCCAUCUUUAACCACCUGUGCACACAUUGUAGGCCUGAAAAGGAUCCACCCACCUCUUUUCGAGGAGGGCCUGGUUUUGAGAACUGCUGUGAAUGUCGGCUGUUCUUGUUUUUCAGGUCUAUGUUUUAAACAUAUACUCCUUGACAAGUAAUAGAAUGCUAGCUUAUUGGCCUUUUGUGCCUUUUUAAACUUAAUACAACUUUCAACAACGGAUCUCUUGGCUCUCGCAUCGAUGA
rnacentral:misc_RNA from 2 species